CGUGGUGUGGAGGGUCGAGUUCUUUGUCGUCCCACAGUCACCCCCAGGACCACCUUGCGAAGCCGAAAAUACACAUCUGCAUUUUACCGACAAGGAACGCCACUGAGAAAGCUGCAGACAUUUGCCUGGGGUCACGCUUACAGUGGGCAGAUGAACUGGAUGUAAAUACAGAAUUACCUAACUUUCCUUGACUAUGAAUUCAACAUUCAAGAAUCUUCUUCUGGUAGCAGGAGCGGCAGAGAGGACAGGCAUGGAAAGGAGGCCUGUCUCCCACGGAGAACUCCUCUAGUGCCAGCAGACACGCAUGGUGGAACACAUGUGAGCAGGACAGGAGGGCCAUCUCUCUGGAACGCCUGCCUGCACCCACGCGCUGACCGCCAGCAGCGGAGAGAGGGGCCAGGCAGAUGGAGCACUCGUGGGUCUCCCGGCGCAGAGCCUGCGGCACACAGGACGGGAAGAGGCCACGCGGCUCCCUGCAGGAAGCGUGCCCUGCAGCAGGCGCGAACCACCCGAGCGGCCUCCACAUGCACCUAGACAGGCACGCCGGCUGGG
rnacentral:lncRNA from 1 species